rnacentral:rRNA from 1 species
UACGUAGGGGGCAAGCGUUAUCCGGAAUUACUGGGUGUAAAGGGAGCGUAGACGGUAAUGUAAGUCUGGAGUGAAAGGCGGGGGCCCAACCCCCGGACUGCUCUGGAAACUAUGUUACUAGAGUGCAGGAGAGGUAAGCGGAAUUCCUAGUGUAGCGGUGAAAUGCGUAGAUAUUAGGAGGAGCACCAGUGGCGAAGGCGGCUUACUGGACUGUAACUGACGUUGAGGCUCGAAAGCGUGGGUAGCAAACAGG